rnacentral:sRNA from 1 species
CGGCAAGAUCGAAAGCCUGAAAGUCGAAUAUCUGAAGUAAGCAUCGGUCUCGCUGGUCGCUCGGAGGAGCGGCGAACUCCCAGUUCGCCGCUCCACUUUC